GCCAGGGUAGAGUACAAAUGGAGGCUUAUCUGCCAAAUACUUAGAUAUUUAAAAACUAGUGCAUAAAAUAAAUCCACUGUCCCACCUUGGCAAAUACAUUUUGGCAAUGACUUACUCUUUCCAGUGCUGGUUAAUAUGCCAAGCACACGCUUCCGGAAGCCCUCCCACCCUGGCGUCACCUGGAGGCAGCAGUGCCUGGCUGGAGCCGUCACUGAGUCGGGGGCGAGUGCCCACCAGCAAGCUGCGUCCUGUGGUCAUCCAGUCUUACUUACCUUAUAAUGAGAAAUGAAGAAUCCUGAGUAAUAAGGGAGACAUGCAGCUGAACCCCCUUCUGCUCCUCGAAUUCCUCCAUGCUAAUGGCGCACCUGUGGACGGUGCGUCUGAGAAGGAAGUGGUGACUGAGUAAACGUCUCUGAACGUGACCAGAUUAAUAAAAACCAGGGUGCUCCGAGGUGGCAGUGAAUACUCCUUUCCCAGAAUCUUAUGAGAAAACUCCAUCUAAAUAAAACACUUGGCAUUGUA